UUUCUGUCAGCUGAGUGGACUGGAGCAACAGGAAAUAAGUGUCUUCUUCAAGGAUACAAUGUGCCCCUGGGAAUUGCACUCAUGGCCUUAUGAUCAUGUGCCAACUAUCCUAACUACUAAGCUAUGCAUCUUCACUCUUCAUACACACACACAC